AGAGUUUGAUCCUGGCUCAGGAUGAACGCUAGNNNNNGUAAUACAUGCAAGUCGAGGGGCAGCAGGGGUGUAGCAAUACACUCGCUGGCGACCGGCAAACGGGUGCGGAACACGUACGCAAUCUACCCAUAACUGAGGAAUAGCCCUCCGAAAGNNGAUUAAUACUUCGUAACCUUAUAGAGUGGCAUCACUUUAUGAGUAUAGCUCCGGCGGUUAUGGAUGAGCGUGCGGCUGAUUAGGUAGUUGGCGGGGUAACGGCCCACCAAGCCUGCGAUCAGUAACUGGUGUGAGAGCACGACCAGUCACACGGGCACUGAGACACGGGCCCGACUCCUACGGGAGGCAGCAGUAAGGAAUAUUGGUCAAUGGACGCAAGUCUGAACCAGCCAUGCCGCGUGAAGGAUGAAGGUCCUCUGGAUUGUAAACUUCUUUUAUAGGGGACGAAACCCCGGUAUUCUUACCGGAUUGACGGUACCCUAGGAAUAAGCACCGGCUAACUCCGUGCCAGCAGCCGCGGUAAUACGGAGGGUGCAAGCGUUAUCCGGAUUCACUGGGUUUAAAGGGUGCGUAGGAGGGCAGGUAAGUCAGUGGUGAAAUCUCCGAGCUUAACUCGGAAACUGCCGUUGAUACUAUCUGUCUUGAAUACCGUGGAGAUGAGCGGAAUAUGUCAUGUAGCGGUGAAAUGCUUAGAUAUGACAUAGAACACCAAUUGCGAAGGCAGCUCGUUACACGCAUAUUGACUCUGAGGCACGAAAGCGUGGGGAUCAAACAGGAUUAGAUACCCUAGUAGUCC
rnacentral:rRNA from 1 species